ACAAAUUCCAAAACUCGCCGAAACGCUCCAUUUUAUCGAGUGUCCUCCUGAACGGGGGGCAUGAGCCUAAAUGGGGUUGUUGUAGGUAAAUACUAACAGUUAUUAUUGACAAAUAAUGGAGAACCAAUUAAAUUAAUUGUAAA
rnacentral:misc_RNA from 1 species